GUGCGCGCUGGCCCGCACGCGCACGACCGGGCUGGUCGUCGGCGGCGUGCUGGUGGUGUUGCUGGCGGCGUUCGUGCUGCCGCGCGCGUUC
rnacentral:tRNA from 1 species